AAUCCAAUUAUCUAAUCUGCUUAUCUGAAUGUGGAACUGCAGAGAUAUAGAAAAAGCUGGAAAUAGUAAGGCCAUAUUAAUGCACCUUAAGGAUAGCUACGGUCAUUAAGGUCCCCGAGAAUGGCUAUAAUA
ensembl:snoRNA